ACCGGCAAACGGGUGCGGAACACGUACACAACCUUCCUAUAAGUGGGGAAUAGCCCAGAGAAUUUUGGAUUAAUACCCCGUAACAUAACGAUGUGGCAUCACAUUGUUAUUAUAGCUUCGGCGCUUAUUGAUGGGUGUGCGGCUGAUUAGAUAGUUGGCGGGGUAACGGCCCACCAAGUCUACGAUCAGUAGCUGAUGUGAGAGCAUGAUCAGCCACGCGGGCACUGAGACACGGGCCCGACUCCUACGGGAGGCAGCAGUAAGGAAUAUUGGUCAAUGGACGCAAGUCUGAACCAGCCAUGCCGCGUGAAGGAUUAAGGUCCUCUGGAUUGUAAACUUCUUUUAUCUGGGACGAAAAAAGGCUUUUCUAAGUCACUUGACGGUACCAGAUGAAUAAGCACCGGCUAACUCCGUGCCAGCAGCCGCGGUAAUACGGAGGGUGCAAGCGUUAUCCGGAUUCACUGGGUUUAAAGGGUGCGUAGGCGGGCAGGUAAGUCAGUGGUGAAAUCCUGGAGCUUAACUCCAGAACUGCCAUUGAUACUAUCUGUCUUGAAUAUUGUGGAGGUAAGCGGAAUAUGUCAUGUAGCGGUGAAAUGCUUAGAUAUGACAUAGAACACCUAUUGCGAAGGCAGCUUACUACGCAUAUAUUGACGCUGAGGCACGAAAGCGUGGGGAUCAAACAGGAUUAGAUACCCUGGUAGUCCACGCCCUAAACGAUGGAUACUCGACAUACGCG
rnacentral:rRNA from 1 species